rnacentral:rRNA from 1 species
UACCAGCACCCCGAGUGGUCGGGACGAUUAUUGGGCCUAAAGCAUCCGUAGCCGGCCUUACAAGUCCCCCGUUAAAUCCAACUGCUUAACAGAUGGGCUGCGGAGGAUACUAUAAGACUAGGAGGCAGGAGAGGCAAGCGGUACUCAGUGGGUAGGGGUAAAAUCCGUUGAUCCAUUGAAGACCACCAGUGGCGAAGGCGGCUUGCCAGAAUGCACUCGACGGUGAGGGAUGAAAGCUGGGGGAGCAAACCGG